CUGCCUCUCUUCUCUUCAAAUCCUAAAUUGAAAUCACAGAAACCCUAGUGAAACUAUUAGCCAAGAAAAGCCUAGAUUUGUAUUAGGAGUGAACUGAAAUCACGAUUCUCACGAUUAUUCUCAAAAAUCUCUUGUUUGUUCAUCAUUUUUUAGAUCUGUAUUAAGGUUUCAAAAUAUGUUCAUCUGAAAUAGAAAAGAUAAACCCUAGAAACCCAGUAAAACAAAUUUGUAAUCAGAUUGUUCAGAUUUGUAAUCGAAUUGAUCCAUUGAAGUAAAUAGGUUUGUGAUGAGAAUGAUGUUGAAAUUUUUACUUCCAAGUGUGGCUGGUAGUAGUGUUGGUAUUUGAGGCUUGGUGUUCUCUGGUGGAGUUGCAACAGCUUCAGGGGGAGGUGGUUCUGUAGGGGGUUAAGUAGAUUCUGAAGCAUAGGUUAACACAAUGUCUGGCAUCGAUGGACUUACCAAUCAAAACCCUAACAAAUCAUAUGAGGUUGUACAACCACCUACAGAUUCUAUAUACAGUCAACGUUUUAGUUCUAAAUGCAACUAUAUUGUUGCUACUUCAUGGGAUAAUCAGGUUUUGUGUUUGUCUUGGAAAGAUGAUGGAAUGACUGUUUUCUUGGAAGGGUGUGAUAAACAAGUAAAGAUAUGGCCUUUGACAUAUGGUGGUCAGCUUGUGACUGUUGUUAUACAUGAUGUUGAACCAUAAAGCAGUUGCUUGGAUACCAGAGAUGAAUCUUUUGUCUAUAGUACUAGGACCUUAGGCAGCAAACGCAAAUCCAUACACAACAGCUUCCAAUAUGUUGUUACUCACUCUCUGUCAAAUAUCCUCUGAUGGUUGUUGUAACAGCAGAUAGAAGAAAUCUGAUUGUUUUUAACCUACGCAACCCUCAGAGAAGGAUUAGGUUACCUGCUAGGAGAUCCAAUCCUAAGAACGACGGCGCAAGGGUACCAUUUUUCAGUGAUGAUAAUGAAGCUCCUAGCACACCAAAAGAAGAUGCCAUUUUUAUUCCAAGGGAGAAUCCAAGAGCUCUUGUUAUACGUCCCCUUGAACAUUGGACCUCCAGAACCUCUACAGAAAAAUGUAAGGAUACUAACAAUAUUCCUCUGCACGAGAGCGGUAAGCAUUUCUUUCACAUGUGCUUCCUAACUAGUUCAGUGGCUUACUUCUACCGUCAUACUAGUUUAUAAAGGUUGAUGGUGGAUUUUGUUAAUUGUCUGCCUAGUUCUGCUUAAUUAUCGGUCUAAAGUGUUUUUCUAUCAAGUAUAUGCCUCACGGUAUCCAUAAUUUUAGCGUUGAUAAUACAACUUUCUAUAAAGACUCACUCAACAUAUGAUCUGUUGAAACUUCUGGGUUAUAUGUUACUAUUAGGGCUGUAUUAAACUCUUCGUACAUGCAUUGUUUUUCCUUGUGUUACCGUAUCUUCUGGUUUUCAGUCAUCUGAAUAAUUUCUUCAUUCAACUUUUUUUAUUUAUGACCAGAUUCACCUGGUAAAGCGGGGAGGGCUGCGGAGGUGCUGAAGAAAGCCUUACAAGUAAGCAACUGAGCUACGACCAUGAAGUCAGCAACAGACAUGGCAGCUGCCAUAGCCUGUUUAAAUUAAGCAGCUAACUGGUAAGGUUCAUGGAUCUGUAAUACAGGGACUGGCAAAUAUGAGGGCUGGUGCAACAAGUAUGAAUGGUGAGAAGAUUGCUUUGUAGAUUUCUGAAUUGCCCAAGGUAUCAGGAACAAGAGAAUCGAUGUCAUUCAGUCAAGGUGCAGACCAUAUUGUUGUUCCAAACGAUGAAAAGGAAUUCAAGUUGAUCGUGGCUGAUCCUGAUACCAUUCUUGAUUCCCUCACACGUGAAGUCAAAGAAGUUGGCCCUGAUGGACAAGAGGCCAUUUGGAAGGCUUUUUGGGGACUACUUCUAAUUCUUUAACUAAUCAGGUUAAUUUAAUGAUGCUCUGUUAUGAGAUCAGAAAGGUUGGAGAAUAAAGAAGUCAUUAGUGGUACUCUCCCAAGCUCUAUGUAGGUAGUUUCUAUGAACUUAGUAAGUUUCCAUGUAGGAAGUUUCAAUGAACUUAGUAAAUUUUGUAACUUAGAAUUUGAUACUUAGAAGAAUUUUGGUACUCUCCCCAAGUUCUAAACUGCUUGAAUGAAUGUAGAAAGAAUAGAAGAAAUUACUGUUAUUGAAUGGGUGAUAUUGUAUGAUUAAACUGAAUGAAA